UUUAACCGCAGCCUGAGAAAGGCGCCUUGGUUUCAACAGCAGCAGACCAGCAUGUGUUUACUUAAUUCCUAAGACAUGAUGACAGUGGUCUCUGUGCCACUAAAAGCUUUUUUCUUUAUUAUUUUCUGUUGAAGCUGAUUUCUAAAAGUUUUUCACAUGCCAUAUGUUUUAUUGCAGUGUCUUCUGUAUGACCCAUGAACAGCAAUGGAAAUCAAAGGAACAGCAAAUGAAACUGCAAAUUGCUAAACUAGAGAUGGCUAUCAAAUCUGAUUUAGCAGACAAAAAUGCAAUCCUUGACAAGAUCAAAGUAGAAAGAGGAAGUUGAAAAAUCUGGAUUAAAAUUACAUCACUUGGUUUUACAAAGUCAUGGAUUACAUCAGAUGAAAGAAUACAGCAGCUGAGUGUAGAAUGCAGGUGAAGCAAUUUCCCUGCAGAGGACAAUCCACUGUCACUUCCAAAGCCAGCAGGUGCUCAGAGGAGUGACUGUAACCAUAGAACUGGUGAGCAGGUGUGUUCCUUCCCUAAAAUUGUCUUAUGAAAAUGCCUGCAAGAAAGCCUAUUUCCUAUACAUUAUAUUUACAUUUAUCUCUGUACUGUUGUAUUUGUCAUUCUUCCAGCUCUUUGGGGAAAUACUACUGAUGGUUUUUAAGAACUGAGAGCAGGAUGCAAUUAUUAAGUAUAAACUAAAAUACAAAAGUAGGCUUGUGUAAGAAAUUGAAACUGCAAUAUAUUUCAAUUUGCUGGUAGUGCAUACCUUUUAAAAUUAGGCAUUACACAACUAUUUUUUUUUUUUGAAAGAGCACAACAAACUAAUUUUUCUAUUGAUACAUGAUAUAAAGGAAAAGGAAAAAUUCUAUCCAACCAUGUACAACUGAAAUACAUUUAGAGAAAAUAUGUCGUGGACUUUAUCAUCACUUGUGAAUACUCAGUGUACCUUUAAUAAGAAAUUUUUUUAAUGGGACAUUACUUAACUGUAUUUAAUACUAAUAAAUUGUUAUUU
rnacentral:lncRNA from 1 species